GAGGGUAUAGCUCAGUGGUAGAGUGCCUGCUUAGCAUGCACAAGGCCCUGGGUUCAAUCCCCAGUAUCUCCA
rnacentral:tRNA from 1 species